rnacentral:rRNA from 1 species
UACGGGGGGGGCAAGCGUUGUUCGGAAUUACGGGGCGUAAAGGGCUCGUAGGCGGCCCUCUCAGUCGGAUGUGAAAUCCCCAGGCUUAACCUGGGAACGGCAUCCGAUACUGGAGGGCUUGAAUUCGGGAGAGGGAUGCAGAAUUCCAGGUGUAGCGGUGAAAUGCGUAGAUAUCUGGAGGAAUACCGGUGGCGAAGGCGGCAUCCUGGACCGAGAUUGACGCUGAGGAGCGAAAGCUAGGGGAGCAAACGGG